rnacentral:rRNA from 1 species
UACGGGGGGGGCAAGCGUUGUUCGGAAUUACUGGGCGUAAAGGGCUCGUAGGUGGCCAACUAAGUCAUACGUGAAAUCCCUCAGCUUAACUGGGGAACUGCGCCUGAUACUGGUUGGCUUGAGUUUGGGAGAGGGACGCGGAAUUCCAGGUGUAGCGGUGAAAUGCGUAGAUAUCGGGAAGAACACCCGUGGCGAAGGCGGCUCUCUAGUACGUGACUGACGCUGAGACGCGAAAGCGUGGGGAGCGAACAGG